AAGUCGUAACAAGGUCUCCGUUGGUGAACCAGCGGAGGGAUCAUUAAAGAGUCUCCUGACUCCCAAACCCUUUGUGAACCUUACCUGUUUCUGUUGCUUCGGCAGGCGGCCCCAGGGCGGGGCCAUGGCCUGUUCUCUCAGGUGCCUGCCGAAAGAAUUUUUUUUUAUUUUUAAAAACUCAAGUUUUUAUAUCAGUGUAAUCAUCAGAGUUAUAAAAGACAAAUAAGUUAAAAACUUUCAACAACGGAUCUCUUGGUUCUG
rnacentral:misc_RNA from 1 species